rnacentral:piRNA from 1 species
GGCAUUGAAGGUUGCACUUCUGGUGUUGCAU